UGAGCAGAAUUCAGUCUGGCAGCCUGGGA
rnacentral:piRNA from 1 species